rnacentral:lncRNA from 1 species
UAACAGUAUCAGUCUCACAGGGAGUUUGAGGGUGAAGGGAGGAGAUAGGCAGGAAUCCCUUAGCACAGGGUCUGGCACCUUGGAAGCUGCUCAACAAAAAGCAGCUAUUGGCACGUGCUAGGUGCUGGGGAUAGAGCAACGAACACGUCUUACCUCUGUCCAGCUUAUGCUCCAAAGCAGGAAACAGUGAGAAUCAAGAGGAAGACAUAAAACAGCUCCUAUGUUGGGCAAUGGUGAUGUGCCUGCUCCCCUUCUGCCUCUGCCAUGAUUGGAAGCUUCCUGAGACCUUCCCAGAAGCCUAGCAGAUGCCAGCACUAUGCUUCCUGUACAGCCUGCAGAACCAUGAGCCAAUUAAAC